rnacentral:misc_RNA from 2 species
CCUUCUCAAACAAUCAUGUUUGGUAGUGAGUGAUACUCUGUCAAGGGUUAACUUGAAAUUGCUAGCCUGUUAUUUGGUUGUGAUUUUGCUGGCUUGGAUGACUUUGUCCAGUCUAGCUAAUACCGAAUUGUCGUAUUAGGUUUUACCAACUUCGGCAGACUGUGUGUUGGCUCGGGCGCUUUAAAGACUUUGUCGUAAACGAUUUAUCGUUUGUUUGAGCUUUUCGCAUACGCAAUCCGGCGAACAAUACUCUCAAA